GGUUAAGCGACUAAGCGUACACGGUGGAUGCCCUGGCAGUCAGAGGCGAUGAAGGACGUGCUAAUCUGCGAUAAGCGUCGGUAAGGUGAUAUGAACCGUUAUAACCGGCGAUUUCCGAAUGGGGAAACCCAGUGUGAUUCGUCACACUAUCAUUAACUGAAUCCAUAGGUUAAUGAGGCGAACCGGGGGAACUGAAACAUCUAAGUACCCCGAGGAAAAGAAAUCAACCGAGAUUCCCCCAGUAGCGGCGAGCGAACGGGGAGGAGCCCAGAGCCUGAAUCAGUGUGUGUGUUAGUGGAAGCGUCUGGAAAGGCGCGCGAUACAGGGUGACAGCCCCGUACACAAAAAUGCACAUGCUGUGAGCUCGAUGAGUAGGGCGGGACACGUGGUAUCCUGUCUGAAUAUGGGGGGACCAUCCUCCAAGGCUAAAUACUCCUGACUGACCGAUAGUGAACCAGUACCGUGAGGGAAAGGCGAAAAGAACCCCGGCGAGGGGAGUGAAAAAGAACCUGAAACCGUGUACGUACAAGCAGUGGGAGCACAGAGCAAUCUGUGUGACUGCGUACCUUUUGUAUAAUGGGUCAGCGACUUAUAUUCUGUAGCAAGGUUAACCGAAUAGGGGAGCCGAAGGGAAACCGAGUCUUAACCGGGCGUUAAGUUGCAGGGUAUAGACCCGAAACCCGGUGAUCUAGCCAUGGGCAGGUUGAAGGUUGGGUAACACUAACUGGAGGACCGAACCGACUAAUGUUGAAAAAUUAGCGGAUGACUUGUGGCUGGGGGUGAAAGGCCAAUCAAACCGGGAGAUAGCUGGUUCUCCCCGAAAGCUAUUUAGGUAGCGCCUCGUGAAUUCAUCUCCGGGGGUAGAGCACUGUUUCGGCAAGGGGGUCAUCCCGACUUACCAACCCGAUGCAAACUGCGAAUACCGGAGAAUGUUAUCACGGGAGACACACGGCGGGUGCUAACGUCCGUCGUGAAGAGGGAAACAACCCAGACCGCCAGCUAAGGUCCCAAAGUCAUGGUUAAGUGGGAAACGAUGUGGGAAGGCCCAGACAGCCAGGAUGUUGGCUUAGAAGCAGCCAUCAUUUAAAGAAAGCGUAAUAGCUCACUGGUCGAGUCGGCCUGCGCGGAAGAUGUAACGGGGCUAAACCAUGCACCGAAGCUGCGGCAGCGACACUGUGUGUUGUUGGGUAGGGGAGCGUUCUGUAAGCCUGUGAAGGUGUGCUGUGAGGCAUGCUGGAGGUAUCAGAAGUGCGAAUGCUGACAUAAGUAACGAUAAAGCGGGUGAAAAGCCCGCUCGCCGGAAGACCAAGGGUUCCUGUCCAACGUUAAUCGGGGCAGGGUGAGUCGACCCCUAAGGCGAGGCCGAAAGGCGUAGUCGAUGGGAAACAGGUUAAUAUUCCUGUACUUGGUGUUACUGCGAAGGGGGGACGGAGAAGGCUAUGUUGGCCGGGCGACGGUUGUCCCGGUUUAAGCGUGUAGGCUGGUUUUCCAGGCAAAUCCGGAAAAUCAAGGCUGAGGCGUGAUGACGAGGCACUACGGUGCUGAAGCAACAAAUGCCCUGCUUCCAGGAAAAGCCUCUAAGCAUCAGGUAACAUCAAAUCGUACCCCAAACCGACACAGGUGGUCAGGUAGAGAAUACCAAGGCGCUUGAGAGAACUCGGGUGAAGGAACUAGGCAAAAUGGUGCCGUAACUUCGGGAGAAGGCACGCUGAUAUGUAGGUGAAGUCCCUCGCGGAUGGAGCUGAAAUCAGUCGAAGAUACCAGCUGGCUGCAACUGUUUAUUAAAAACACAGCACUGUGCAAACACGAAAGUGGACGUAUACGGUGUGACGCCUGCCCGGUGCCGGAAGGUUAAUUGAUGGGGUCAGCGCAAGCGAAGCUCUUGAUCGAAGCCCCGGUAAACGGCGGCCGUAACUAUAACGGUCCUAAGGUAGCGAAAUUCCUUGUCGGGUAAGUUCCGACCUGCACGAAUGGCGUAAUGAUGGCCAGGCUGUCUCCACCCGAGACUCAGUGAAAUUGAACUCGCUGUGAAGAUGCAGUGUACCCGCGGCAAGACGGAAAGACCCCGUGAACCUUUACUAUAGCUUGACACUGAACAUUGAGCCUUGAUGUGUAGGAUAGGUGGGAGGCUUUGAAGUGUGGACGCCAGUCUGCAUGGAGCCGACCUUGAAAUACCACCCUUUAAUGUUUGAUGUUCUAACGUGGACCCGUGAUCCGGGUUGCGGACAGUGUCUGGUGGGUAGUUUGACUGGGGCGGUCUCCUCCUAAAGAGUAACGGAGGAGCACGAAGGUUGGCUAAUCCUCGGUCGGACAUCAGGAGGUUAGUGCAAUGGCAUAAGCCAGCUUGACUGCGAGCGUGACGGCGCGAGCAGGUGCGAAAGCAGGUCAUAGUGAUCCGGUGGUUCUGAAUGGAAGGGCCAUCGCUCAACGGAUAAAAGGUACUCCGGGGAUAACAGGCUGAUACCGCCCAAGAGUUCAUAUCGACGGCGGUGUUUGGCACCUCGAUGUCGGCUCAUCACAUCCUGGGGCUGAAGUAGGUCCCAAGGGUAUGGCUGUUCGCCAUUUAAAGUGGUACGCGAGCUGGGUUUAGAACGUCGUGAGACAGUUCGGUCCCUAUCUGCCGUGGGCGCUGGAGAACUGAGGGGGCUGCUCCUAGUACGAGAGGACCGGAGUGGACGCAUCACUGGUGUUCGGGUUGUCAUGCCAAUGGCACUGCCCGGUAGCUAAAUGCGGAAGAGAUAAGUGCUGAAAGCAUCUAAGCACGAAACUUGCCCCGAGAUGAGUUCUCCCUGACCCUUUAAGGGUCCUGAAGGAACGUUGAAGACGACGACGUUGAUAGGCCGGGUGUGUAAGCGCAGCGAUGCGUUGAGCUAACCGGUACUAAUGAACCGUGAGGCUUAACCUU
rnacentral:rRNA from 1 species